CCUACGGGUGGCAGCAGUGGGGAAUAUUGCACAAUGGGCGAAAGCCUGAUGCAGCGACGCCGCGUGAGUGAAGAAGUAAUUCGUUAUGUAAAGCUCUUUCUGCAGGGGAGAAAAUGACGGUACCUGAGUACGAAGCCCGGGCUAACUACGUGCCAGCAGCCGCGGGCAUACGUAGGGGGCACGCGUUAUCCGGAUUUACUGGGUGUAAAGGGAGCGUAGGCGGGUGUGCAAGUCUGGAGUGAAAGGCGGGGGGUCAACCCCCGGACUGCUGUGGAAACUGGGCGGCUGGAGUGCAGGAGAGGUAAGUGGAAGGCCUGGUGUAGCGGUGAAAUGCGUAGAUAUUAGGAGGAACACCAGUGGCGAAGGCGGCCUGCUGGGCUUUAACUGACGCUGAGGCUCGAAAGCGUGGGGAGCGAACAGGAUUAGAUACCCCUGUAGUC
rnacentral:rRNA from 1 species